GAAAAAUCGGAUGGGGGUGUAUAUGUAAUUUUCACUAUUCAGAUAACUGUCAUUCCUAAAUUAACGUUCAGUAAAUAAGGAAUUCUCUCUCACUCCCCACGACUUUUGCAAACCACUUCCACUCAAUUCAGAGACCCUAGAGCAAACGCGAAUUCAUCUCUCUUCAAGAUUCGUCGCCACCGCCUCUUCGUUCUGUAAUCCAGCGACGUCGUCGCUCCGCCUAAGUCCGGCGCUUCCCUGCACUUUCGCCAACCGCCGCCAUGGUCUAAGAUCAGUAACUGGUUGUCGCGCGCAUCUGAAGGCUCUGCGGCGUGUCCAGAUUUCAUCCACUCGUCAGUACGGCGAUUCCGCUCUAGUGUGUGAAAUAUCAACGGCGGCUUGAAUCGUGUAGUUUCCGGCGGGGCUGCAUGAAAAGAUUACCAGUGCAUCUUUGAAAUUUGUUGUCUUGAAUCCAAAAUGGCGUAUUUGGACAAUGGUUGCUGGAGGUGGUGCGAGUGUAAUAUAUUUGUAGUUAUUCAGAAUAUUUGUUAAGUUUAUUCAGUAUAUAUUGCUUUUUUGUUUA